UGGCAAUUUGGUAUCUUCUAUAUUACUAUAUUAAUUUUAAAAUUAUUUUUCUGGGUGUGUGAAGAAUGUCAUAGGUGGUUUGAUAGGGAUUGUGUUGAAUCUGUAAAUUGCUUUGGGUAGUAUAUACAUUUUGAUACUAUUAGCUCUUCCAAUCCAUGAACAUGAGAGAUAUUUUACAUUUUUAAUGUCUUCUUCUGUUUUUUCAAUUAGUGUUUUAUAAUUUUCAUCUUUCACAUGCUUCGUGAAAUUUAUCCUAAGAUACUUAAUUUUUAUAGCUAUUAUGAAUGGAAUUUUAUAAGUUCUUUUCAGCAAAAUUAUUAUUCAUUUUUUGAAAUGUUACUAAUUUUUGUUUGUUGAUUUUGUAUCCUGCAACUUUACUGAAUUCUCUUAUCAGUUCUAAUAUUUUUAAAUACCAACAUCUUUGGAGAGAGCGAUUUAAUAAAUGCCUUCAGGGCACCCUCUGUCCCACACCCUGUCCCACGCCCAGGAUACGCUAGAAUCUGCUCUAAAUUCAAGCUGGCAUAAACACGUGGACUGGGCGGCCCUUCUCAUCUUCCUGCUGUGGCCUGGGGAGGGGAGGGCCUGCUAUUUUCUGCAGGACACAGAUCUCGGGGUAGAGAGGACAGAUGGAGGGAAAACCAGCCUUAAGGUGUUAGUGCAGCCUGGUGAAAUACUGCUGGCAUCUCUGAGGGACUGCCCUGUGGGUCUGGGCACAGACACUGGAAUUCCUUGGGGCAUGGAGAAAGCUCUGGGGCUCCAUGACUGCAGCCAGAUCCAGGCCUGAGGCCGCUGACACUUGACACCGGGGCCUUUGGUUAGUGAGGAGCAGACUUUGUGUCUUGAACGGAGAAGCAAGACCUGGGGGUGGGGGGAGGGGGGCAGGGGUGGGAGCCAAUACUGAGUGCCUGCAGCAUCUACGACUAUCUUCACAGCUCAGAACUUGUAACUAAAAUAUUUAAAGAAUCGGAUUUUGAAUGAAAAUUAAAGGGCAAAUGUUCUCAAAAAAAAAAUGCCUUCAGUCUUGGUGUUUAUAAGUUUGAUUCAGACUUCUCUUUACCUUUUAAUAGGAUGAACAAAGUAGUUUGAGGUCCAUAUUAUACCUUGGGACAAAGGAAGGGAGUAAGGGAUAGAAAAAGAUGGUAAGAAAAGGUGAAGAAAAAUAGCCCCAGAGUUUUAAUUUGGCACACAUUAGGUCUUCUAGGGACCCUGACUGUCCAUGAAGUUUGCAGCAACGACUGGUUUGAGCCUGUUUGAUUGCUUCUAUCAUGAGCCUCUUCAUACUUUAAAUUAAGAAUGUAUUUUUCUAUGGUGUUUCCAGGAAGAUGACCACAGAAACCCAUGUGGCAAUUUAAUACUGCUACCUGGAGUGAUGGAGAAGAAAUAUAAAGCUGGCAUGUUUACCAGUUGAUUGUUGAUUGUUACCAACAGUAACUAUUCUUGAAUCUCUACUCCAUGUCAGACACUGUACUAGGUACCUAACACAUAUCCCUACAUAAGCCUCAAAAGUAUAUCUGUCAUUCUGGAAACGUAGUUGGUGAGCAAUUAGAUGUGGCUUCUAUCCCAGGCCUAUUUGAGGCAGGAACAAAUGUUUCUCUGCCAUAACACACUGCUAUGACAUCCUUUUUUUCAAUCCUUAACUUGACUUCCUAUUCAGCCUUCAAUGACCAGCCAUCUUCUCUCAGUGACCUCAGUGAUAUCUUCUCUCAUAACUCUGAUUUGACACUUUUCAAAUACAGCUUGAACUCUGGCUCUGCCUACCCCAAGUUGCAAUUAUUUUUUUUUUCCUGCCUCUGCCCCAGCUCCCCACCCAAAUCACUGAGUCAUUGUGUAUUCUUGGGAUCACCAGACUCAUCCUCGUAGCAGGAGUUCGGAGGUAUCCCCAGUUGGUCUACAAAAUAACCUUGGCACGAAGUCCAGCAUCUAAGAGUCAAACGUUUGCUGUUGGUUGAGCCACUCAACAUUGUUCAGAUUUACUCUCCAGUAGCUGACAGCAUCCUCUCUGGAGCAAUGGCUUACCGUUGGGAAUUUUGUGCCCAUAUAGUCUUGUCCUUGUUUCGUGUUGCCCCCCCCGCCUCUUUAUAUCCCAAAAGGAGAACAUAUCUUAGAUGCUCUUUACAUUUAGUCAUUCCUCUCUUGUGUGUGCAUUCUUUAUAUUUUGGAUUCUAGAAGAAUAAAAGAAGUACAUAGAGUAUCUAAUGGCUUCUU
ensembl:lncRNA